rnacentral:rRNA from 1 species
AGCGAACGCUGGCGGCAGGCCUAACACAUGCAAGUCGAACGAACUCUUCGGAGUUAGUGGCGGACGGGUGAGUAACACGUGGGAACGUGCCUUUAGGUUCGGAAUAACUCAGGGAAACUUGUGCUAAUACCGAAUGUGCCCUUCGGGGGAAAGAUUUAUCGCCUUUAGAGCGGCCCGCGUCUGAUUAGCUAGUUGGUGGGGUAAUGGCCCACCAAGGCUACGAUCAGUAGCUGGUCUGAGAGGAUGACCAGCCACAUUGAGACUGAGACACGGCCCAAACUCCUACGGGAGGCAGCAGUGGGGAAUCUUGCGCAAUGGGCGAAAGCCUGACGCAGCCAUGCCGCGUGGAUGAUGAAGGUCUUAGGAUUGUAAAAUCCUUUCACCGGUGAAGAUAAUGACUGUAGCCGGAGAAGAAGCCCCGGCUAACUUCGUGCCAGCCGCCGCCGUAAAAC